AUAAUGGGUCAGCGACUUAUAUUCUGUAGCAAGGUUAACCGAAUAGGGGAGCCGAAGGGAAACCGAGUCUUAACUGGGCGUUAAGUUGCAGGGUAUAGACCCGAAACCCGGUGAUCUAGCCAUGGGCAGGUUGAAGGUUGGGUAACACUAACUGGAGGACCGAACCGACUAAUGUUGAAAAAUUAGCGGAUGACUUGUGGCUGGGGGUGAAAGGCCAAUCAAACCGGGAGAUAGCUGGUUCUCCCCGAAAGCUAUUUAGGUAGCGCCUCGUGAAUUCAUCUCCGGGGGUAGAGCACUGUUUCGGCAAGGGGGUCAUCCCGACUUACCAACCCGAUGCAAACUGCGAAUACCGGAGAAUGUUAUCACGGGAGACACACGGCGGGUGCUAACGUCCGUCGUGAAGAGGGAAACAACCCAGACCGCCAGCUAAGGUCCCAAAGUCAUG
rnacentral:rRNA from 1 species